UACGUAGGGGGCUAGCGUUGUCCGGAAUCAUUGGGCGUAAAGAGCUCGUAGGUGGCCUGUCGCGUCGGCUGUGAAAACUCGGGGCUCAACUCCGAGCUUGCAGUCGAUACGGGCAGGCUAGAGUUCGGCAGGGGAGACUGGAAUUCCUGGUGUAGCGGUGAAAUGCGCAGAUAUCAGGAGGAACACCGAUGGCGAAGGCAGAUCUCUGGGCCGUAACUGACGCUGAGGAGCGAAAGCGUGGGGAGCGAACAGG
rnacentral:rRNA from 1 species